rnacentral:tRNA from 1 species
AAAGAAAUUUUAUAUAUAAAAAAAAGCUUCUAACUUUUUUAAAAGCAUUAACUUGUUUAU